AAAGGAACAAAACUCUGUGACUCCCCCAGUCCCGUCUGGGAAGGGACGGACAUUGGAAGCUCAGGAGCAGGUGAUUCCCCAGGGAAGGCUCCUCCAGUGUCGGCUCCUUUUGGUCUGAGUCGGCGGAGGUGAAAAGGGGGCUGCUGACUGAUGAGGCGGGGAGCUGCAUAUAUAAGGUCAACAAUGAGCUGGACAAGGAGCUGGAACCAUGGCCUGAGGCGCAGAUUCUCAGUUGUGCCAGCGGGAUGGUUGGUUGAAAACGCUGUGACUGGGAGUAGGGCUGGCUGGAGCCUUAGGUGCCGCUGCUCUCCCAGCAGCCACCCUUGCUAAUUCUGCAGUGAGGAACUGCUCCGACCCCAGUGACAGCCUGAAGAAGCCACAGGAUCCUGCCUUCGAAACCGCUGAGCAGCCGACCACCCCCACCUCUGCUGCCUCCCUGACCCCAGCUCCCGGGCAGCCCGCAGUUCUGUCCCUCGCUCUACCUCUCGCUGACCGAAAGGGAUGGAAUAAUUGCACCAAGACCUAGAAUGA